UCUCUGUUAGUAUAUCGGUUAGUACACGCGCCUGUCAUAGAAAUCUUCCUUGGCCGCGCGAAAGCGGGGUUCAACUCCCCGACAGAGAG